AGUGAACGCUGGCGGUAGGCCUAACACAUGCAAGUCGAACGGCAGCACAGUAAGAGCUUGCUCUUACGGGUGGCGAGUGGCGGACGGGUGAGGAAUACAUCGGAAUCUACUUUUUCGUGGGGGAUAACGUAGGGAAACUUACGCUAAUACCGCAUACGACCUACGGGUGAAAGCAGGGGAUCUUCGGACCUUGCGCGAUUGAAUGAGCCGAUGUCGGAUUAGCUAGUUGGCGGGGUAAAGGCCCACCAAGGCGACGAUCCGUAGCUGGUCUGAGAGGAUGAUCAGCCACACUGGAACUGGGACACGGUCCAGGCUCCUACGGGAGGCAGCAGUGGGGAAUGUUGGACAAUGGGCGCAAGCCUGAUCCAGCCAUACCGCGUGGGUGAAGAAGGCCUUCGGGUUGUAAAGCCCUUUUGUUGGGAAAGAAAAGCAGCAGGUUAAUACCCCGCUGUUCUGACGGUACCCAAAGAAUAAGCACCGGCUAACUUCGUG
rnacentral:rRNA from 1 species